rnacentral:rRNA from 1 species
UACGUAGGGGGCAAGCGUUGUCCGGAAUCAUUGGGCGUAAAGCGCGUGUAGGCGGCUUGGUAAGUCUGCUCUGAAAGCCCGGGGCUCAACCCCGGGAGGCGGGUGGAUACUGUCAAGCUCGAGUCCGGAAGAGGAGUGUGGAAUUCCUGGUGUAGCGGUGAAAUGCGCAGAUAUCAGGAGGAACACCAAUGGCGAAGGCAGCACUCUGGGACGUGACUGACGCUGAGAGCGAAAGCGUGGGGAGCGAACAGGAUUAGAACCGGUACCGUAC